rnacentral:rRNA from 1 species
AAAUUGAAGAGUUUGAUCAUGGCUCAGAUUGAACGCUGGCGGCAGGCCUAACACAUGCAAGUCGAGCGGUAGCACAGAGAGCUUGCUCUCGGGUGACGAGCGGCGGACGGGUGAGUAAUGUCUGGGAAACUGCCUGAUGGAGGGGGAUAACUACUGGAAACGGUAGCUAAUACCGCAUAACGUCGCAAGACCAAAGAGGGGGACCUUCGGGCCUCUUGCCAUCAGAUGUGCCCAGAUGGGAUUAGCUAGUAGGUGGGGUAACGGCUCACCUAGGCGACGAUCCCUAGCUGGUCUGAGAGGAUGACCAGCCACACUGGAACUGAGACACGGUCCAGACUCCUACGGGAGGCAGCAGUGGGGAAUAUUGCACAAUGGGCGCAAGCCUGAUGCAGCCAUGCCGCGUGUAUGAAGAAGGCCUUCGGGUUGUAAAGUACUUUCAGCGGGGAGGAAGGUGUUGAGGUUAAUAACCUCAGCAAUUGACGUUACCCGCAGAAGAAGCACCGGCUAACUCCGUGCCAGCAGCCGCGGUAAUACGGAGGGUGCAAGCGUUAAUCGGAAUUACUGGGCGUAAAGCGCACGCAGGCGGUCUGUCAAGUCGGAUGUGAAAUCCCCGGGCUCAACCUGGGAACUGCAUUCGAAACUGGCAGGCUAGAGUCUUGUAGAGGGGGGUAGAAUUCCAGGUGUAGCGGUGAAAUGCGUAGAGAUCUGGAGGAAUACCGGUGGCGAAGGCGGCCCCCUGGACAAAGACUGACGCUCAGGUGCGAAAGCGUGGGGAGCAAACAGGAUUAGAUACCCUGGUAGUCCACGCCGUAAACGAUGUCGACUUGGAGGUUGUGCCCUUGAGGCGUGGCUUCCGGAGCUAACGCGUUAAGUCGACCGCCUGGGGAGUACGGCCGCAAGGUUAAAACUCAAAUGAAUUGACGGGGGCCCGCACAAGCGGUGGAGCAUGUGGUUUAAUUCGAUGCAACGCGAAGAACCUUACCUACUCUUGACAUCCAGAGAACUUUCCAGAGAUGGACUGGUGCCUUCGGGAACUCUGAGACAGGUGCUGCAUGGCUGUCGUCAGCUCGUGUUGUGAAAUGUUGGGUUAAGUCCCGCAACGAGCGCAACCCUUAUCCUUUGUUGCCAGCGGUUAGGCCGGGAACUCAAAGGAGACUGCCAGUGAUAAACUGGAGGAAGGUGGGGAUGACGUCAAGUCAUCAUGGCCCUUACGAGUAGGGCUACACACGUGCUACAAUGGCGCAUACAAAGAGAAGCGACCUCGCGAGAGCAAGCGGACCUCAUAAAGUGCGUCGUAGUCCGGAUUGGAGUCUGCAACUCGACUCCAUGAAGUCGGAAUCGCUAGUAAUCGUAGAUCAGAAUGCUACGGUGAAUACGUUCCCGGGCCUUGUACACACCGCCCGUCACACCAUGGGAGUGGGUUGCAAAAGAAGUAGGUAGCUUAACCUUCGGGAGGGCGCUUACCACUUUGUGAUUCAUGACUGGGGUGAAGUCGUAACAAGGUAACCGUAGGGGAACCUGCGGUUGGAUCACCUCCUUACCUUAAAGAA